UACGUAGGGUGCAAGCGUUAAUCGGAAUUACUGGGCGUAAAGCGUGCGCAGGCGGUUUUGUAAGACAGAGGUGAAAUCCCCGGGCUUAACCUGGGAACUGCCUUUGUGACUGCAAGGCUUGAGUGCGGCAGAGGGGGAUGGAAUUCCGCGUGUAGCAGUGAAAUGCGUAGAUAUGCGGAGGAACACCGAUGGCGAAGGCAAUCCCCUGGGCCUGCACUGACGCUCAUGCACGAAAGCGUGGGGAGCAAACAGG
rnacentral:rRNA from 1 species